rnacentral:rRNA from 1 species
AUUAAACGCUGGCGGCAUGCCUUACACAUGCAAGUCGAACGGCAGCACGGGGGCAACCCUGGUGGCGAGUGGCGGACGGGUGAGUAAAGCAUCGGAACGUAUCCUGGAGUGGGGGAUAACGUAGCGAAAGUUACGCUAAUACCGCAUAUUCUGUGAGCAGGAAAGCAGGGGAUCGCAAGACCUUGCGCUCUGGGAGCGGCCGAUGUCGGAUUAGCUAGUUGGUGGGGUAAAGGCCUACCAAGGCGACGAUCCGUAGCGGGUCUGAGAGGAUGAUCCGCCACACUGGGACUGAGACACGGCCCAGACUCCUACGGGAGGCAGCAGUGGGGAAUUUUGGACAAUGGGCGGGAAGCCUGAUCCAGCCAUGCCGCGUGAGUGAAGAAGG